rnacentral:rRNA from 1 species
CUUUCCUCCCGAGUGCUUGCACUCAAUUGGAAAGAGGAGUGGCGGACGGGUGAGUAACACGUGGGUAACCUACCCAUCAGAGGGGGAUAACACUUGGAAACAGGUGCUAAUACCGCAUAACAGUUUAUGCCGCAUGGCAUAAGAGUGAAAGGCGCUUUCGGGUGUCGCUGAUGGAUGGACCCGCGGUGCAUUAGCUAGUUGGUGAGGUAACGGCUCACCAAGGCCACGAUGCAUAGCCGACCUGAGAGGGUGAUCGGCCACACUGGGACUGAGACACGGCCCAGACUCCUACGGGAGGCAGCAGUAGGGAAUCUUCGGCAAUGGACGAAAGUCUGACCGAGCAACGCCGCGUGAGUGAAGAAGGUUUUCGGAUCGUAAAACUCUGUUGUUAGAGAAGAACAAGGACGUUAGUAACUGAACGUCCCCUGACGGUAUCUAACCAGAAAGCCACGGCUAACUACGUGCCAGCAGCCGCGGUAAUACGUAGGUGGCAAGCGUUGUCCGGAUUUAUUGGGCGUAAAGCGAGCGCAGGCGGUUUCUUAAGUCUGAUGUGAAAGCCCCCGGCUCAACCGGGGAGGGUCAUUGGAAACUGGGAGACUUGAGUGCAGAAGAGGAGAGUGGAAUUCCAUGUGUAGCGGUGAAAUGCGUAGAUAUAUGGAGGGACACCAGUGGCGAAGG